AGUGAACGCUGGCGGUAGGCCUAACACAUGCAAGUCGAACGGCAGCACAGUAAGAGCUUGCUCUUACGGGUGGCGAGUGGCGGACGGGUGAGGAAUACAUCGGAAUCUACUUUUUCGUGGGGGAUAACGUAGGGAAACUUACGCUAAUACCGCAUACGACCUACGGGUGAAAGCAGGGGAUCUUCGGACCUUGCGCGAUUGAAUGAGCCGAUGUCGGAUUAGCUAGUUGGCGGGGUAAGGGCCCACCAAGGCGACGAUCCGUAGCUGGUCUGAGAGGAUGAUCGGCCACCCUGGAACUGAGACACGGUCCAGACUCCUACGGGAGGCAGCAGUGGGGAAUAUUGGACAAUGGGCGCAAGCCUGAUCCAGCCAUACCGCGUGAGGGAAGAAGGCCUUCGGGUUGUAAAGCCCUUUUGUUGGGAAAGAAAAGCAGCAGGUUAAUACCCCGCUGUUCUGACGGUACCCAAAGAAUAAGCACCGGCUAACUUCGUG
rnacentral:rRNA from 1 species